rnacentral:rRNA from 1 species
AUGAAGACCUUUCUCAUCCUUGCCCUCCUUGCUAUCGUGGCGACCACCACCACAACUGCAGUUAGAGUUCCAGUGCCAUAAUUGCAGCCACAAAAUCCAUCUCAGCAACAACCACAAGAGCAAGUUCCAUUGGUGCAACAACAACAAUUUCUAGGGCAGCAACAACAACAAUUUCCAGGGCAACAACAACCAUUUCCACCACAACAGCCAUAUCCGCAGCCGCAACCAUUUCUGCCACAACUACCAUAUCCGCAGCCGCAACCAUUUCCACCACAACAAUCAUAUCCACAACCACAACCACAAUAUCCGCAACCACAACAACCAAUUUCGCAGCAACAAGCACAACUACAACAACAACAACAACAACAACAACAACAACAACAACAAAUCCUUCAACAAAUUCUGCAACAACAACUGAUUCCAUGUAGGGAUGUCGUCUUGCAACAACCCAACAUAGCACAUGCAAGCUCACAAGUAUCGCAACAAAGUUACCAACUGUUGCAACAAUUAUGUUGUCAGCAACUGUGGCAGACCCCCGAGCAGUCACGGUGCCAAGCCAUCCACAAUGUCAUUCAUGCUAUUAUUUUGCAUCAACAACAACAACAACAACAACAACAACAACAACAACAACAACAACAACAACAACCGUCGAGCCAGGUCUCCUACCAGCAGCCUCAGCAACAAUAUCCAUCAGGCCAGGGCUCGUUCCAGCCAUCUCAGCAAAACCCACAGGCCCAGGGCUUUGUCCAACCUCAGCAACUGCCGCAGUUCGAGGAAAUAAGGAACCUAGCGCUACAGACGCUACCAGCAAUGUGCAAUGUCUACAUCCCUCCAUAUUGCUCGACCACCAUUGCGCCAUUUGGCAUCAUGAGUACUAACUGA